UACGUAGGUGGCAAGCGUUGUCCGGAUUUACUGGGCGUAAAGGGCGUGCAGGCGGUUUGUUAAGUGCAGAGUGAAAGCUCCCGGCUCAACUGGGAGAGGUCUUUGCAUACUGGCAAACUCGAGGGAGGCAGAGGAAAGUGGAAUUCCCGGUGUAGUGGUGAAAUGCGUAGAUAUCGGGAGGAACACCAGUGGCGAAGGCGGCUUCCUGGCCUGUUCUUGACGCUGAGGCGCGAAAGCUAGGGGAGCAAACGGG
rnacentral:rRNA from 1 species